rnacentral:rRNA from 2 species
GGGGGCUGGCGGCGUGCCUAUACAUGCAAGUCGAGCGAACUGAUUAGAAGCUUGCUUCUAUGACGUUAGCGGCGGACGGGUGAGUAACACGUGGGCAACCUGCCUGUAAGACUGGGAUAACUUCGGGAAACCGAAGCUAAUACCGGAUAGGAUCUUCUCCUUCAUGGGAGAUGAUUGAAAGAUGGUUUCGGCUAUCACUUACAGAUGGGCCCGCGGUGCAUUAGCUAGUUGGUGAGGUAACGGCUCACCAAGGCAACGAUGCAUAGCCGACCUGAGAGGGUGAUCGGCCACACUGGGACUGAGACACGGCCCAGACUCCUACGGGAGGCAGCAGUAGGGAAUCUUCCGCAAUGGACGAAAGUCUGACGGAGCAACGCCGCGUGAGUGAUGAAGGCUUUCGGGUCGUAAAACUCUGUUGUUAGGGAAGAACAAGUACAAGAGUAACUGCUCGUACCUUGACGGUACCUAACCAGAAAGCCACGGCUAACUACGUGCCAGCAGCCGCGGUAAUACGUAGGUGGCAAGCGUUAUCCGGAAUUAUUGGGCGUAAAGCGCGCGCAGGCGGUUUCUUAAGUCUGAUGUGAAAGCCCACGGCUCAACCGUGGAGGGUCAUUGGAAACUGGGGAACUUGAGUGCAGAAGAGAAAAGCGGAAUUCCACGUGUAGCGGUGAAAUGCGUAGAGAUGUGGAGGAACACCAGUGGCGAAAGGCGGCUUUUUGGUCUGUAACUGACGCUGAGGCGCGAAAGCGUGCG